rnacentral:rRNA from 1 species
GAUGAACGCUGGCGGCGUGCUUAACACAUGCAAGUCGAACGGGCAUUACUUUAUUUUGCCUUCCGUCCGUUUACUUUAAUUCUAGUGGCGGCCGGGUGAGUAACUCGUUGGUAACCUGCCUUAUCCACGGGGAUAACAGUCAGAAAUGGCUUCUAAUACCGCAUCAGCGCACAGAGCUGCAUGGCUCGGUUUUGAAAACUCCUGUGGUAUAAGAUGUACCCGCGUUGGAUUAGCUUUUUGGUGGGGUAACGGGACACCAAGGCGACGAUCCAUAGCCGGCCAGAGAGGGUGAACGGAGACAUUGGGACUGGGAAACGGCAGAGACUCCUACGGGAGGCAGGAGAGGGGAAUAGUGCAAAAUGGGGGAAACCAUGAUGGAGCGACGAAGAGUGAAGGAAGAAGUAAGGCGGUAUGUAAAAUGCUAUCAGCAGGGAAGAUAGUGACGGUACCUGACGAAGAAGCCACGGCUAACUACGUG